GCUCGAUUAACGCAGUGGUAGCGUGCCGCUCUUAUACUCUUCUUCGUUUUCGAAAAUCGUAUGGUGAAAUGCGGAAGUCGUGAGUUCGACCCUCACAUCGAGCA